UGUCCAUAAAAAAAAGAGCAUCCCAAUCGAUACAUUUCCUUGGAAAUAAUAAUACAAAAAGUAAGAAAAUGAAGAGGCAAAUGAAUCAGAAGCUCUGCUAAUUCCUCUCCAUCAUCUUCCAUCAUUUGAGCAAAUAGGAAAGUGAUGACCUGCUGUGAAACAAAUGUAAGCUCCUUUCCCAUAUUAUUUUUCUUUCUUGGCUUUCCUACCGAUAUUUUUAGCAACAAAAAUGUUUGGUGAUGAGCUCCUGGAGCGAAAGACUUCCGGCGAGCUUCUUAUUAACCGACCACAACCUGCUUCAAAUAGAUUUUUGGAGUUUUUUUCCAGGAAUAUGUGAUAGUAUGAUGAUGCCCAGUUUGAGUCUGGAGAAAUAUAUGAUAUUAUGAUGAUGCCCAGUGAAUCUGGAGGAAUAUGUGAUAUUAUAAAGAUACCCGAUUCGAGUCCGAAGGAAUAUGUGAUAUUAUGAUGAUGCCCGAUUCGAGUUCGGAGGAAUAUGUGAUAUUUUGAUGAUGCUCGGUGAAUUUGGAGGAAUAUGUUAUAUUAUGAUGAUGCCCGGUUCAAUUCUAGAGGAAUGUGUGAUAUUAUGAUAAUCCCGAUGAAUUCAGAGAAAUAUGUCAAUAUUGUGAUGAUGCCUGAUGAAUCCGAAAGAGGUAAGAACAUAAUGAUGCUGUGUGGGCCAAAUUUACUUAUAUGUAUUGAUAUUUGUAAGUUUAGGCCAUAUGGGGCCAACCACCUAUAUGCUUGAAUUAUGAGGUCUCUCCUGGUAAAUUAUUAUUCAUUUCUUGUUCCAAAUAACUAUAUAAGAGGUGUGACCCUUGUUGAUGCUAAAUUAGCUACUAGGGGAAAUUUAUGUCUAAUAUUAAGUUAAGGCUUAGCGUUAUGUGUAAACUUUCAUAAAAAAUUCAAGGGCUAACCUAUAUAUAUACUUGACUUGAAUAAGAGGUUAUACUAUGAAAUCUUGCCUAGUAAGGUGGCUUAUGUGAUAACUAGCUACUUCUAAAGUAUAUGAUUAUUAUUUGAAACCUCGAAACCUAGUAAACUAGUUGGUGGACUUUACUUGAUUAAAAUAUGGAAACUAGUCCUUAAGUUUGUGACAUGCUUAGUGAUGAUGGAUCUAGUAUUGCGUGAUGGUUAGUUAAAUUAUCUCCUAACAUGUGAAGUUGAGAUGGCUUAGUUGAUAACUCAUGUAAUGAUGAUCCUAGUUAAAGAAUGGCCUUAUGAUAGUUGAAUAACCUAUACUAUGGGUGUCUUGUAGUUUUUCCCCAAUUUGAUUACUAGUGAUUUUAAGACUUGUAAUCUUUUGACUUUUGGAAAAAUAAGGUUAAGUAGUGUGGACUUCGCAGUAUUUAUCAAUGAAUUAUAGAAUUAAUGAUUACAAACCUAUGCUAUGACAAUGUUGCUUUCUUUAUGUUGAAUUAAGGUAUGGGUAAUUGGAAGUGGAUUUCGGUAAUGACCCAUGGCGGGGUUAUGCUACCUGCGAUUUUUGUUAAAUUGAUGGAGUAGUUGUGCUUUAUUGUAUUAUUGGUUGUAUUCUUUGGUGUACUCUCCGGUGGUAUAGGAUGUUGUGAUGAGUUCUUGUUUGAUGUUCUUUUAUAUAUUCUUCGGUGGUAUGGGAUGUUGUGAUGCGUUCUUUGUUGUGCUCUCUUUCGUGUACUUCCCGAUAGUGGACGUUGUGGUAAGUUCUUGUGUUUAUGGUCUAAAGAUGGUUAAUGAUGAUUAUAUAAAGUAGAUGUUUUGAUAUUGUGUAUAUAACUGUACGCUUUCAAAAUGAUUCUCAGUUGUUAUGGUGAUUAUGGAGUAUUUUGAAAUAGGAUGUCAUGUUAUUGCUUUAGUAGUAUAGAUGUUCUUACAGUAGUAUUAAAGUAGAUUCAGGUUCGAUCCUACCCCUUGACAUUAAGAUCAUUUUCUUACUUUAUCUCAUCUUUAUAUCAUAUUUGAGCUCAGUCAGCCGAUGAUGCGUAAUGAGUACCCGUGUUUUGGUACUCAUACUGCAUUUAUGUACCUUUUUGGUGCAAACCUGAGUUCUAGUUUCCACUGUUGAGUCGAGAUCGUGUUGUGUUGAUCAUCAGGGGAUAGGGCGAGAUCUUGGAGUUUGAGUUUCCCUCUUUUUAUUCUUUCUUUACUUGUCUUUUGUACUCAAGACAGUUGUAUAAGACUAUUUAAGUUUCUAGACUUCAAAUUCUAAUUUUUGUUGUCAGAUUUAGAGUUGCUCUUGUACUUAUACUACUAGGCCAUGGUAUUGGUAUUCGAAUGUUAGUCAUUUUGUUUGUAGAAUGUUGUUGUUAUAUUGUGUUGCUACAUAGGGUCCAUGUUGGAUGUUUCUACCAAGGUAACCCAUUGCAUUAGCUCCGGGUUAUGGUGUCGGCUUACCUACUAGUGGGUUAUGGUAGGUGCCAUCAUGACUCAAAAUUUGGGAUGUGACAAAUUAGUAUCAGAGCCUAGGUUUUACUAGUAUUAUUGGUACAAGAGCAAGUUUCUAAUAGAGUCCUGCGGGUCAAAACAUUGAUGGCCAUUUCCAAUCUUCGGGAGGCUAUGCGUCAUUCUUUGGAGUUCUUUAUUUUUUUCAUACAUAUCGUGGUAAGAUUCUGAGUUGGUUUGUAGUAUUGAUGUGUGAGCUAACACUAACACAUUUGAGGCUUUUAACUAAGAAUAAUUGUGAAGUCUUAAGCAACUUUUAUCUUUUUUUAUUGGUUUAUGUUUGAUUUUGCAGUAGAAGCUGAUAUGAUAGAGAACGAAUAAGAAUAGAAGAAAAGAAGUU